UGGGGAAUAUUGCACAAUGGGCGAAAGCCUGAUGCAGCAACGCCGCGUGAGUGAUGAAGGCCUUCGGGUUGUAAAGCUCUGUCUUUUGGGACGAUAAUGACGGUACCAAAGGAGGAAGCCACGGCUAACUACGUGCCAGCAGCCGCGGUAAUACGUAGGUGGCAAGCGUUGUCCGGAUUUUACUGGGCGUAAAGGAUGCGUAGGCGGAUUUUUAAGUGAGAUGUGAAAACCCUAAGCUUAACUUGGGGACUGCAUUUCAUACUGGAAAUCUAGAGUGCGGGAGAGGAGAAUGGAAUUCCUAGUGUAGCGGUGAAAUGCGUAGAGAUUAGGAAGAACGCCAGUGGCGAAGGCGAUUCUCUGGACCGUAACUGACGCUGAGGCAUGAAAGCGUGGGUAGCAAACAGGAUUAGAUACCCUGGUAGUCCACGCCGUAAACGAUGAGUACUAGGUGUAGGAGGUAUCGACCCCCUUCUGUGCCGCAGUUAACACAAUAAGUACUCCGCCUGGGAAGUACGAUCGCAAGA
rnacentral:rRNA from 1 species